ensembl:lncRNA
GGCAUACACCAAUCUGCACAUGACGAGGCUGACAGGCAACAACACGAAUCUGAAGGAGAAGCUCUUGUCUACGGUAAAGAGAUGCAUUGAAACUCAGCAUCCAGAUUUCUUGGGAGACCUAGAUAUACAUUUUCAAAUUGAUUCUUUUCAGAUUUGCAUUUGACCUUAUCCUUCGCUCUUUCUCCUCUCGGGUCGUCCAUGAGUUCCUGAUGGUUUGCCUGGCCCAUCUGAAGAAGCUUCAGGCCUAAAUACACCUGCCCUGCAGCUAACAUGGAGUUCCAGCUCAACGGCCGGCGCACCUGCGACAGCUGUGGCUUCCAGAGGUGCUUCAGAGAGGAUUCAAAUUACCUCUCGCUGGUCAUCAGUCCUCAAGGAUGCCUCAUUGACAGUCUGCGAGUGACAUCACUGACUACAUCAUUUCAGCAGGCGGAUGCAGAUUCUGAUUGGCCGAUGUCUGUGUUGUUUGUUUUCUCCAGACAUCUUCGUUUGAAUGCCUCUGCAGUGAGUGUGCCAGCACUGUGGCUUCUGAGAUACAACAGCUUGUUGAUUAGUUUGUACCCUGCAGAGUAACUAAACAUAAGCUAGUCUAUAACUUGAGAUGAGUUGAAUCUCUAUACAAGGUGCUGGUGCUUCUGGUCAUGCGCUUUGACAUCACAUCCUCAAUGCAGAAGCUGGAGAAUCGACUGGAAGCUCCAGAAGAGUUUGCACUGUCCUGUGUACAGGUGUGGGUCAGUCCAUCACACACCUGCCCUCUGCUGGACACUUAAGGAACAAUCACAAACAACAAAUUAUUCUGAAAGACAGCGUCAGGGGACAUUUGCUCUGAAAAACUAUUUUUUUAAGCAUUGAAUAUUUACUGAAGUGUUAUUAUUUUUUUUGUUUUGAUGUAUAAUCUACAACAGAGAGCAGAGAGAUGAGAGUCAUAAAGAGAAAAGGCCCAAAGCAACAGCAAGAGAGAAGGAAGAGGGAUAGGGUUGAGACUGCAGGACAACAGGAAAGAUAUAAACAGCAAUUCAUAGAUGGACUGAUAGAUAGAUAAAUAAAAUAUUAUAGGGAAUGUCA